CUGAAAAUUUACAUUCAAUGACACCAAUAAGGUCCGAAAGUUCCAAAGAUCCAUUAUGAAUUCAGUCAAAUGUCCAUUAUGAAUUCAAUGAAAACUCUUUUAGUUGAAAUAUUUAUUUCUCCUAUAAAACCUUGAGGAAGUUUUGGUCUCAUCAAGAAUAAAGAUGAAGUCUGCACAAGAACGCGAAUAUGGUCAAAGUAGUUUUACUUAUACUCUGUGUAAAUGAUAUUAUACUUAUCAAGAAUUAUGUAAAGAUAAUUUGUAUUAUGUGAUUCAUCCUAAUUAAUUAAUUAAAUUGGAAUUUGCCCAAAAAGACUUCAUUUUCUUUCCCAAAUUGCCAUGCUUGUCUUAUCUCUACUGACAGCUUCUUUGGCGUCAAGGUCAGCAGUACCGGCAUUUUGAACCUGAUCAAGAAUGUCAUGCAAUCAUCAAAGGGUCAUAAUAGGGAUGAAAUGAUGGAGAAGGAGAAAUGAUAUGAAAAAGAUGAGGUGGAAUGCGUCUCAAAGUCAAGAAAUUGAAAAGGGUCAACAUAAAAAACUCUGUUGGACAUUACAAUAAGUAAAAGUUUAGUUCUUGGUUAUAAAUUACAGAUUCUCAAAAAACAAAAACAAAAAAAAAAAUCAGCAGCAGUAUCAACUACGUAAUAACCAUGAGAAGAUUAGGUUGGGAAGACGUCGCAGUUUUUCUGGCAUGAAAUGUUUGGAGCACCCAUGGAUUCUCUCUCUCACUCACCCGCCGCCAUUACCUUAUCAACCAGUUUCUCUGUCAAGCCUCACAAACUACUUUUCCGCGUUGGUUCUGCUACUCAACACAUCAAAUAUCCCAACCCUCCAAACAACGUCCUCCAUUUGAAUCUUUCCUUUUCUUCGUACUCCACUUCCCGCAUUUGUUUACCCACAGACGAACGCAGCAUCAACC
rnacentral:lncRNA from 1 species